GAUGAACGCUGGCGGCGUGCCUAAUACAUGCAAGUCGAACGAGUUUCUCGUUGAUGAUCGGUGCUUGCACCGAGAUUCAACAUGGAACGAGUGGCGGACGGGUGAGUAACACGUGGGUAACCUGCCCUUAAGUGGGGGAUAACAUUUGGAAACAGAUGCUAAUACCGCAUAGAUCCAAGAACCGCAUGGUUCUUGGCUGAAAGAUGGCGUAAGCUAUCGCUUUUGGAUGGACCCGCGGCGUAUUAGCUAGUUGGUGAGGUAAUGGCUCACCAAGGCGAUGAUACGUAGCCGAA
rnacentral:rRNA from 1 species